rnacentral:misc_RNA from 1 species
GAUGAAGAACGCAGCGAAAUGCGAUACUUGGUGUGAAUUGCAGAAUCCCGUGAACCAUCGAGUCUUUGAACGCAAGUUGCGCCCGAAGCCAUUAGGCCGAGGGCACGCCUGCCUGGGCGUCACACGUCGUUGCCCCCCCAUCUACUCCUUCGGGAUUGCGGGGGGCGGAUGAUGGCCUCCCGUGCGCCUCGCCGCGCGGUUGGCAUAAAUGCCAAGUCCUCGGCGACGCACGCCACGACAAUCGGUGGUUGCGAAACCUCGGUUGCCCGUCGUGUGCGGUCGUCGCGCAUCGAGGGCUCGAAAAAAUUGCCGGGUUCCGGCUCGGCUUUCAACGCGACCCCAGGUCAGGCGGGGUUACCCGCUGAAUUUAAGCAUAUCAAUAAGCGGA